rnacentral:lncRNA from 1 species
GUUGCACAUAACACUUUAGAAUUCCUCUGUCUUGGAUUAAUGUCCCAGUUGGUCCUGAUAGCAUCCUUGAAUUAUGGCCUUUUAAAGUUUUCUUUUAAUUAUGUAUGUUGAGUUUCAGAGCAGAGACGCAAGCAUUUCCAUCUCUUCCUGACAAGGAGUUAAUGAAGGGAAUGUAAUCGUGUUGCCUAUUAACUGAUAUACUAAAAUUUCCACUGACUGCCGUAACUAAUUUUUUCAGUGUAACAUCAUUUUGUUGUUGUUUUUUUCUUUUAUGUCAUCCAAAUAUACAAGAUGCUAGUAGUAAGAUGAAUAUUAUUUUCACUAAUAGACUAACAAAUGC